AGGAAAAGAAACCAACAGGGAUUGCCUCAGUAACGGCGAGUGAAGCGGCAAAAGCUCAAAUUUGAAAUCCUUCGGGAAUUGUAUUUUGAAGGUGGGUUUGGUUAGGAAAAGAUACUUUAAGUCCAUUGGAAAAUGGCGCCAUGGAGGGUGAUAGCCCCGUAAAAGUCCCCCUUUUCCUUCUAUCCAUUCCCUCCAAAGAGUCGAGUUGUUUGGGAAUGCAGCUCUAAGUGGGUGGUAAAUUCCAUCUAAAGCUAAAUAUUGGCGAGAGACCGAUAGCGAACAAGUACAGUGAUGGAAAGAUGAAAAGCACUUUGAAAAGAGAGUGAAAAAGUACGUGAAAUUGUUGAAAGGGAAGGGCUUGCAAGCAGACACAACCUCGGUUGGGCCAGCAUCGGAGUGGGGGGAGACAAAAAAGAAAAGGAAUGUAACUCUUUCGAGUAUUAUAGCCUUCUCUCAUAUCUCCACCCCCUUCCGAGGCCUGCGAUUCUUCAAGGAUGCUGGCGUAAUGGUUGCAAGUC
rnacentral:rRNA from 1 species